rnacentral:lncRNA from 1 species
UUUGAUUUAGGUUUUUGGUACUUAGAUGGAAUAGCUAGACUUAGGGUUUCUAUUCAGGUAAUCAUGAUUAUAAUCCUACAGACGCCUAACAAGUUGUAUGCAUGAUAUUAUAGAGCUAAAACACUUAUGAACAAACCGAUCGGCGUUCGCUUUCUAAGUUUGUCUAUUGACCAGAUAUAAGUGUCGAUCGAUGAUUCUAGAGGAAUAUCGAUCGAUACACUUGUUGUACCGUCGAUCGAUAUACUUGUUGUACCGUCGAUCGAUAUUCCUAUAGAAUAAUCGAUCGACGCGUUCUUAUCCAAGCUUUACGCGCGGGUUGAAUUAUGCUCACUAGGCUUCAUAGAUCAGCUUUCACCUUACUCUAACAAUCCUAGCUCAAUUAUGACGAAUUCAGGGUGAGAUUCAAGUGAUAACUUGUACAUACAACUCCUAGAUCAAGGUUCUAGCUAGCUAAACUAGAAACAAACAUUAAUGACAAUCCUAAUGAUGAAUAUCACAACUUAGCAAUCUAUAGUUGAGGAUAAUCUCUCAUAGCCUAUUUAAACCCUAAACCUAACAAUUGAACUAUUCAGACAUGACUAAGAAAUUCAUAACAUCAAUUAUGUAUAAAAACUGCAUAGAUAAAUAGAUAGAUAUUAAUGGAGUUUCAAUCACAAAUCUCUUUGGAUCUUCUCUC